CGAGGAGUUGCUUUCUACUUUUUUUGACUGCCUGUAUAGUUCUUUUAGGGCGAGUCCAUUGGAUUCGUUCUACUCUCCUUUCAUCUGAUGUCGUUCAUAGAAUUCCACUACCAACAAAAAAAGGCUCACUACAGACAAAAGGCUUUGGUGCGUGCAUCUCCUUUCCUUCACGGGUUGAUGGCGUCCUUUGGAUGAAAGAUUCUAGUGCAUGCAUCUGCUUUUCUUUAUGGGUUAAUGGCGUCUUCUACUCGAUUUGUCUUGUAGCCUUUUCAUCUUCCUUUUCUUCCUCCUCUCUCUCAACUGGGUUAACAGGUCCGAUUCGUCUGCAAAUUAUUCUUGGUGUCACCGAUCUUCAGAUCCAGAGUUUGGCAAAGCCGAAGAAGUGAGAUAAUGAACGCUUGGUGCAUUUAGGUUUCUGAAGGAUUCUAUUUGCUUAAGUUCUGAGCACUUUUACCAUAUGAUCAAUGUAUUAGAACUCUUCUUGAACUGCAUGACAGAACCAAAUGAGAAGCUUAUGGAAUUUGGAGCAGGAUGAAUCUAGAACUUUUCUGUUGCUCAAGGCCUCACCCUCUUAGUCUUGGUGACUUCUAAUCAACAAGCAAUUGUUUCAUGCAACUGGGGUGUUGAGGAAUAUGGCUUAUCUACAUCCUCCACAUUUAAUGAAGGUUCAAGGCCUAGAUAACUCAUUAUAAAAAUUUUACAAAUCAUGGCUUGCUUCCAGUAACUCUCCAGUGUAAGUGUAAUGCUAGUACUUGGCUCAACCUCAUUGUAAGGCUUAAUCUUUGUAUUUGAAGAAGAUAUUAACUGUCACGUACGGCGAAUACAAAAAACUUUGUGCAAUGUUUCUAUA